GAUGAACGCUGGCGGCAUGCCUAAUACAUGCAAGUCGAGCGAACAGACGUGAGUGCUUGCGCUCUCUGGCGUUAGAGGCGGAAGAGCGUGUCACACGUAGGUAACCUACCUCUAAAACUGGGAUCUAAUAGGGCAACCGGUGCGAAUCACAGAUAAUAUUUAGCUUCGCAUGGGGCACGAGUGAGAGACGGUUCUUGUUUCGCCAAUAGCUUACCCCGGCGUCUAUUAGUUGGUGGGCGGGGUAACGGCUCAGCAAGACAACGACCCAUAGCCGACCUGAGAGGGUGUUAGGCCACACUGGGAGUGAGACACCGCCCAGACUGCGACGGGAGGCAGCAGUAGGGAAUCUUCCGCGAUGGAAGAAAGUAUGACGGAGCAAUGCCGCGUGAGUGAAGAAGGUUUUCGGAUCGGAAAACUCUGUGGUAAGGGAAGAACAAGUACGUUAGUAACUGAACGUACCUUGACGGUACCUGAGCAAAAAGCCACGGCUAACUACGUG
rnacentral:rRNA from 1 species